AACAAAUAACUAUGUUUCACCGGUAUGUGUCUAGGCAAUUCAUAAGGGUCAGAAUAUAAAAUCAAACAAGGAACUAGUAUAAUUUAAAAGAAAAAGUGUUAGUAAACAAUAGUAUCAACACAAUUGACCAAGGAGAAAAUGACAAAAAUAGGAAGAGUUGUUAGAUCCUCUUAUAGAAUCCAUCUGCGUUUGAGUGGCUCGAGGGACAGCUAGACCCAAUCCAGGAGAGAUAAUAGCGGAUACAACCUCUGAUUUGGACAUAGACGGAGUUCUUUCGAAUUCCAAAUGCGCUCCCGAGUGUACAUGCGAAAAGACGGAAUAAGGAAAAAUUUAGCAUAAUCUUGAUCUCGACAAAACAGACUUAUGAGAUAAAUAAAUUAAGUUAUCUCCUAAUUCUAAACUCAAACAAGAUCUUAACUAAUUCAAUAUUUUACACACCAUCAUCCAAGUUUUAGGUGAAUAAGAAACCAUCGGAAACAAACUUCUCACGUAAUACAUAAUCAAGAUGAAGCUGUGAGAUGCUUGACUAUCCAAACACAUCUACACUAUGUCAAUGGCUUACUAGACAUAUAUAGUAGUACCGUUCGGACAUCGAAGCAAUACAUAUGGCUAGGAUACUAGUAAAACUUUGCAAAUUGCACUUUCUUAUUACCAAACAUUUCAUGAUCUAAGUGUCUAGAAAGACUCAUACGAGUAGUGGGUGAAUAUGGACCCUGUAGACUCAAUUUUCAGAAUUUGUUAAGAUUAUUCCAACUAGAAGACGAUGAAAUGAGUUUGGACGGGAGAUCAGUCAUCAGAUAACCUAACAGAUUUCAACACAUAACCAUAGGUCGUUGGGUUGGUUAAUUAAAAGGUAUUCAUAUGGUCAGCUGGACUAAGAUAUGGCUGAAACAAGAAAGAAAAAAAAAUAUUUCCACACACAAGUAAACCAAAAUCUCUAGCUAGAUAAUAGAGAAAUCCCUGUGUUAGAAUGAACAGACCUUUACGUGCUUAUCAACAACAACAAAAAACCCAGUAUAUUCCCACAUAGUGGGGUCUGGGGGGUAAGAUGUACGUAGUCCAUACCUUUACGUGCUUAUCAAUCUUCCAAAUAAAAUGUGUAACAUUCUGUAAGCUACAGGCAUAUUAUGGACUUGAGAUAACCACAACCCAACUUAAUUAAUUUAACAAAGAAAAAGUCUUGCACCCUUACAUACAAAACACCUUAGAAAAUUCAAAAGAGAAAAGACUAAACAACUAUAUUUUCAUGUAAAUUACACCACAUUAGUAAUCCUCCUAAGAUUAAGUUAACGAUAACGACAAAAGAGGACAAAAGUAUUCACUGGACACUGCACAUUUUCCAUGUUUCCGCCAACUCGCCUUUAGUAAACGAAAUGAAGAAUCUGCCAUACACAUUAACUUGAUAAAGGUUCUAAAUGAAGUCGUAUUCGGAAGUAAAUUUGAAGGCAAUGAACAACAACUCCCGAACCAUAUUUGAAGCCAAGGUUCACGCCUUCACUGCCAAAUCCAUUUCUCAAGACCAACGACAAUUACAUAUGAAUCUACUGAUCCAGAAUUGACGAAAACAAUGCAAAUUUCAUCAAUCUUAGGUGAAAUCAAGUAUUCUCAUAAUCGAUGUAAAUGAAAUAGAAAGAGUUGAAAUAGUGAAGAUGAACAAAGAGAGAGCUCAAAUACUUCGUGCGUUUAGACCCAAGGCAGCCAUGUAUCAAGAAAGAGAAGCAACUAUUUACACACAUUCAAGAAUUUAAGACAAAGGUAUACAUCUAUUGUGAUGGACAACUGAGAAUCGUAAGGUUUCGAGCCCUUUGGAGCUGUUUUCCACUCCGGUAGCUCACGAACACACAAACCAAACUAGUGUACAGUCAAGCCGCCAUUAUCCCGUUAAAAAUAUAAGCCGACAUCGAAAUGACCCCAAAUGACCUAUCAAGCCUACGUCCUGAAACUCAGAGCUCCAUUGAUUUUGUUCCAUAGUUUAUAAGAUUAUUGCCAAAUAUAUUAAACAACAUGAAAACUACUGUUUUGAGUUCCUAUUGGCAACUUGCAAGACAAAAUAUCUAAUUGUCAUCUAAAAAAAACUAAAGCUUCAAACCAUUAACACUUGUAAAUACACCAUUUAACACAAACAUAACAGCGCUACUUUACUUCAUAUUCAUAUCCAGGAUCAACCAACGAACUCAAACGAUCAACAGAUUGCAACAACUAAGCAAAUUUAAUUAGACGGAAUAGAAUUUCACCUUGUGUUGGGCAGCAAGACAGAGGCUUUUCUGUCAAAAUUCCGGGGAUGAACUCUACUGCGAAACACCGACUCGGACCGAAUAAAAAAGAAAACGACAAUUUUUGAGGCUUUUGGGUGAAUUUCUUACUUUGUAUACUCGAUCUCUCUCUUUUUCGACCUUCUUCACACUCCCUUUUUCUCUCUCGAUUUUCUCCACCCUUUACGAUCUUCAACCUUUUUUCGCCCUUUUUCAAUUUCUUAAACUCUCUAUUUUUCUCUCGAAUUCACUUGCUCUUUUUCAGAUCUUCCACCUUUUUUUUUCUUCUUUUUUUUUUCGAACUUUCUCUUGUUCGUUUUUUUUAACUCUCCAACCUUUCUUUUCUCAGAUCUUUUUCCUCCUCCUCUACCCUGCCUGAGAUGAUGGAGAAACCUCCUAUUUAUAAGUGAAUCUGGACUUGAAAAUCCGGAUUCGAAACUCAAAUUAAACCAACCUUGUAGAAAAUUGAUUUAAAAUUUAAAAUCACCCUAUCAACCUGAAUCUCCACUUUUCAGGCCAUUUAAUGACUCGUUUGAGCCUCCUUUCCCGUUGUUAUACCGAUUAGGGUCUAUUUUUCUCUGCUCUUGGAGGAUUUGCGAGAUGGAGGGUAUGUUUUGGUGAGAUUCUCGCAACGGGGGUGGCAGGCGGCCAGCUAGCAAAGGUUUUAGGGUCUGCAUUGUUGAGGGGUGAUGGAGGAAGGGUGAUGAAGAGAGAAGGGGAGAGCAAUUGAUUUUUGCUGAUUUUCAGAAAAUUGAAAGAAACUCAUCACUCUAGCGUGAGCUGCCUUCUUUCUUAAUGCCUCAACUCUUUCAAAUUUUGUCCAAGUUUUAAUCCAUCCAAUAUUUUGAUCCAACGAUCCUAAAAAUAAUAAUAGUAAAAAAAAGUUGUAUAUAUAUGCAAAUAAAUGUAUAAAAAGUUAAAUUAUUUUUUAUCGGCGUGGGUGGUCCAAAUUUUAAUUUAAAGAAGAGAAAAAAGUAAAAAAUAAAUAAAAAUAUAUAUAUAUAUAUAUGUAUAUAUAUAAACAAAUAAUUAAAUAAAAUAAAAACAAAUUAUAUAUGCCUACAUAUACGUAAAGACUUUGGGAUUCUUCGGAUUUAAAAUAAAUCCACGGAUCAGGCUAAAAUUU
rnacentral:lncRNA from 1 species